UUUCAGAUUAAGAGAAAUGAGCACCAUUGUUAAUUGAAGUUCCCUGAUUGGUUACUUUCCAUUUACAUUAAGGUGGUGAAGAAGAUAUUUGAAAAGCUUAUUUGUCAUCCUACCCUAUAACUUGUAUUGAAUGGUAGUUGAGUUGAGCAGCGUUGAAACCUGUUGAGCAACACAUUAUCAUUAGUUGUAUGACUCAAUUUCUUAGUUUAUAUAGUUCAUGUUUCUUUUGGAAUACAUGCACCUUUGGUCUGAAAAAUUUCUUUGUAAUUCAUGUAUCCAUAUCAUGGGCUCGUUGUAUAUUUAGUAUUUUUAAAACAUUUGGGGACUUUUAUUUGUAAAUAAUAUUAAAGGUUGAUUUACCAUAUUUUAUUUU